rnacentral:rRNA from 1 species
AUUGAACGCUGGCGGCAUGCUUUACACAUGCAAGUCGAACGGUAACAGGCCGCAAGGUGCUGACGAGUGGCGAACGGGUGAGUAAUGCAUCGGAACGUGCCCAGUCGUGGGGGAUAACUACUCGAAAGAGUAGCUAAUACCGCAUACGAUCUAUGGAUGAAAGCGGGGGACCGUAAGGCAUCGCGCGAUUGGAGCGGCCGAUGUCAGAUUAGGUAGUUGGUGGGGUAAAGGCUCACCAAGCCAACGAUCUGUAGCUGGUCUGAGAGGACGACCAGCCACACUGGGACUGAGACACGGCCCAGACUCCUGCGGGAGGCAGCAGUGGGGAAUGUUGGACAAUGGGCGCAAGCCUGAUCCAGCAAGGCCGCGUGCAGGAAGAAGGCGUUCGGGUUGUAAACUGCUUUUGUACGGAACGAAACGGCUCUGGUUAAUACCCGGGGCUAAUGACGGUACCGGAAGAAUAAGCACCGGCUAACUACGUG